rnacentral:lncRNA from 1 species
CUAUCCUUGGGAAUAACUAAAAUUUCGAUUUCAUUUUACUCAAAUUUCCUUUAAAUUAUUUUUGGGGGCGAUUGACGUUCGAUCGGCUGGUAACCAACUUGAACUCCGAAUGAAGGCAAAAUAUCGACAUAUUUUCAGCGCUAAUUUUUAAUUCAAAUUCAUAUCUAAAUUUCAAAAUUUUCGCUCAGAAAUAUAGACUUAUCCUUCUAUUUUCGUUGGUGAUAUGACUUAGAUAAUUAUUCUUUGGUAUUAAAUAGAAAACAGCGCAGUUAUUGACCCUCCUUAACGGAUAACGGAUAUCGUCUCAAAUAUAUCAGCUCUGAAGCUUAUUUCAAAAUCGUGGCACUUGAUUGGGACAUGACUUUAACUUUUCUAUAAACUACUAACAUUAGUCAACACAAAUCGCCAAUAAUAUCUUGCUGAUUGGCAUAUUGUAAACACUGGACUGGACUUUGGACUAUGGACUUUGGACUUUGGACUUUGGACUNNNNNNNNNNNNNNNNNNNNU